rnacentral:rRNA from 1 species
ACAGCGGAGAGUUUGAUCCUGGCUCAGGAUGAACGCUAGCGACAGGCUUAACACAUGCAAGUCGAGGGGCAGCGGUGGUGAAGGCUUGCCUUUACCAGCCGGCGACCGGCGCACGGGUGAGUAACACGUAUGCAACCUG